rnacentral:rRNA from 1 species
UGGGGAAUAUUGGACAAUGGGCGAAAGCCUGAUCCAGCCAUGCCGCGUGUGUGAAGAAGGUCUUCGGAUUGUAAAGCACUUUAAGUUGGGAGGAAGGGUUGUAGAUUAAUACUCUGCAAUUUUGACGUUACCGACAGAAUAAGCACCGGCUAACUCUGUGCCAGCAGCCGCGGUAAUACAGAGGGUGCAAGCGUUAAUCGGAAUUACUGGGCGUAAAGCGCGCGUAGGUGGUUUGUUAAGUUGGAUGUGAAAUCCCCGGGCUCAACCUGGGAACUGCAUUCAAAACUGACUGACUAGAGUAUGGUAGAGGGUGGUGGAAUUUCCUGUGUAGCGGUGAAAUGCGUAGAUAUAGGAAGGAACACCAGUGGCGAAGGCGACCACCUGGACUAAUACUGACACUGAGGUGCGAAAGCGUGGGGAGCAAACAGGAUUAGAUACCCAUGUAGUCCUGAGCGGGCUGGCAAGGCGCAU